AACGAACGCUGGCGGCAUGCCUAACACAUGCAAGUCGAACGAAGUCUUCGGACUUAGUGGCGCACGGGUGCGUAACGCGUGGGAAUCUGCCCUUGGGUGCGGAAUAACUUCUCGAAAGGGAUGCUAAUACCGCAUAAUGUCGUAAGACCAAAGAUUUAUCGCCCAAGGAUGAGCCCGCGUAAGAUUAGCUAGUUGGUGGGGUAAAAGCCUACCAAGGCGACGAUCUUUAGCUGGUCUGAGAGGAUGAUCAGCCACACUGGGACUGAGACACGGCCCAGACUCCUACGGGAGGCAGCAGUGGGGAAUAUUGGACAAUGGGCGAAAGCCUGAUCCAGCAAUGCCGCGUGAGUGAUGAAGGCCCUAGGUGUAAGCUCUUUUACCAGGGAUGAUAAUGACAGUACCUGGAGAAUAAGCUCCGGCUAACUCCGUGCCAGCAGCCGCGGU
rnacentral:rRNA from 1 species